CCUUCCAGUGGCCUUGCAAACCACGUGUUGGAUAUGUAGGAGCCUCAAGAUGGAAUGAGCCUGGAUUUCCCAUGCACCCCUUGGGGCAAAGCCACCUGCUAAUCAGGAGCACCCAGGGGCACAGCAAGGCCACACGCCCAGGCCUUCCUGGAAGCUAGGCUGAGGCCACGAGACUGAGCUCUGGAUGGGAGAAUCAGCAAGAGCAGUGUGCGCCUCUCCCUCCCAGGCCUGGCCCAUGAAACCUUCCCCUUUGUGAGCCCUCCCUGCUCAUCCCCUUCCACAACUCGGGAAGUCACACGGUGAAGACGGUGCAGCCUCACGAUGGAAGGAUGCCGACCCCUGAAUCAGCACAUGGAGAAGAGCUGUCCACCAAUCAGGAACACAUGUUUAUAACUUUACAUGAAGGAGAAAUAAAUUUCUAUGCCUUAAA